rnacentral:rRNA from 1 species
GACAGAGGCCUCAAGCGUUAGGCGGAAUCACUGGGCUUAAAGCGUGUGUAGGCGGAUCGUUAAGUGUCUUGUGAAAUCCCACGGCUCACCCGUGGAACUGCUGGGCAUACUGGCGAUCUUGGGCCAACUAGGGGCAACUGGAACAAGCGGUGGAGCGGUGAAAUGCGUAGAUAUCGCUUGGAACGCCGAAGGUGAAAACAGGUUGCUGGGGUUGUGCCGACGCUGAGACACGAAAGCGUGGGGAGCAAACAGG